rnacentral:rRNA from 1 species
UACGUAGGGGGCAAGCGUUGUCCGGAUUUAUUGGGCGUAAAGAGCGUGUAGGCGGUCAGGUAGGUCCGUUGUGAAAACUCGAGGCUCAACCUCGAGACGCCGAUGGAAACCAUCUGACUAGAGUCCGGAAGAGGAGAGUGGAAUUCCUGGUGUAGCGGUGAAAUGCGCAGAUAUCAGGAAGAACACCCGUGGCUAAGGCGGCUCUCUAGUACGGUACUGACGCUGAGGCGCGAAAGCGUGGGGAGCAAACAGG